rnacentral:hammerhead_ribozyme from 1 species
AUCCAACUGACUAGCCCAAAAUAGGGCGAGACGCGAGUCCUGGAU